rnacentral:rRNA from 1 species
AUGAUGAGCGGCGGUGGCAGUGGCAGCGGCAGCGGCGCGGGGCCGAGCAGCUCCAGCUUCGAGCGGCACGCGAAGCGGCGGCCCCCGGCGACGCCGGCGUCGGACCAGCAGCGGAAGCUGCUGCGGCUGUCGGUGCAGCACGGGCAGGGGGACGAGGACGCGCUGGCGGCGGGCGUGGUGCCGCCGGUGACGGUGGUCCUGGACGGGCGCUGCAUCUGCCACCGCAUCCAGCUCAGCUGCCACACCGGGUACCGCAGCCUCGCGGGCGCCCUCCGCCGCAUGUUCGUGGACGACGCGGCCGAGGGCGACGACGACGGGCUCGACCUCUCCAAUGCCGUCCCCGGGCACGUCGUGGCGUACGAGGACAUGGAGGACGACCUCCUCCUCGCCGGCGACCUCAACUGGAAGGACUUCUGCCGUGUGGCCAAGAGGAUCCGGAUCAUCCCGGCAAAGUCGACGACCCGAAGGAUCAAGCAAUGCGGAGGCGCGGUUAACUAG